UUGGCUCUGCGAAGCGUGUCGGCGUCAGAGCACCGGCGGGAUCCGAACUCUGCGCCUGGAGACAGCCGCCGCGGGCCGCUCAGCGUGGAGCAGACAUGUAAGUACAACUGGAAAAAUCUCUGCUUCAACCACCAUCUCCGCCAGAUCCACAGAAUGCUUUGCUACCUGGCUGAGAGCUGAAAGGACCUGACGCUGUCAAGCAAAAAGGCAAAACAAAACGUUAUGUGGAGUCCAUAAAAGAGCUCAGAUCAUCAGGAUUCAGGAUCAUCUGGGCUAAGUGGGCAAUAGCUCCUGCAUCCACUACUGUCUGUGCUAACUCUGGAGAAUGCUUCGAAAUAUCACUGAGGGCCGAAGCAGCAAUCCUUUUCAAAGCAAUUUCUGGCUCCUGGAUACAGAGUACUAAAAGAGGAACCGCUCCCGCAUCCACCACAGCUUGUGACAGUUCUGUGGGUCCAAGGAAAGUAAUUAAGUAGUAAUGACAUCAGAUGUGGGGGAUGCUACUUUUACUGUGCAGCUAAUGAAGAAAGAUUUACUGUGAAGAGCCUGCCUCCCACCAUAGAGGCUGAAGAUGCCAGAUCCUCACUCUCUUAGCCUGAACCAAUCCUCGUCAAUAGGACCUGAAUGGAAGCAUCUAUGAAAGGUUUUCCUCUAGAAUAAACAGACACACACAGGAGGAAACACCACCUCUACUUUGCUAGACACAGUCAUGUCUGCAAAUGACAUCUGGAACCCCUACAUCCAUCUUGCAAUUAUAAGGGCAGAAAUCGCCAACAUACUGAGAAUGGCUGAGUACAAAAAUGAAAAACAGCUGGGUCCUCAAUGAUACUGUUGAGCUGCACAACCAACCUUGGGCCUGCCCUGACUGAACUUUGCGUCAUGUAAAAUAAAAAGCAUCCUCAUUGCUGAAGACACCUGUCGAUAGUCUGUGACUUACAGCCAAAAACAUCCUGGUAUAAUUCUUUCCUCUCUCAGGUUUGAUCUAGGUACAUAUUUUCCUCUCUUCUUAACUCUGUGAGUGGUGAUUAAGUGUGACUAUGUCCUAGAAAUCUGGCUAGAUCUUGGGGAAUUAGAAUGAAGUAAAAUACUGUUCUGUCCUAAAAGACACUACUCAGGGUGAAUAUAGAACAAAUCAUUACAAACAGAAAGCAGAGGCAGGAGUAAAGUUUGUGGAGUGUUCAGGAAAAAUGUAUACCGGAGUGUCGUUUUAGAAAGUGCAUUCUGCAUUACUUCCUUCCUCCUUUUUUCUUUUUUUCCUGUACUUUUCUACUCUAAAAAAGUGUCCAUCAACAGAUGAAUGAACAAAAUGUGGUACCUACUUAAAAUGGAAUAUUGUUCAGCCAUAAAGGGAAAUGAAGUCCUGAUACAUGCUAUGACAGUAUGAAAACAUGUUGACUGAAAUAAGUCAGACAUGAAAAAGACAAAUAUCGUAUGAACCCACUUACAUGAAGUACCUAGAAUACGCAAAUGCAUAGAGGCAAAAGUAGAUUAGUGGUUACGAGGGGCUGGAAGGAGGGAGGAAUGGGGAGUUACUGUUUAAUGGGUACUGAGUUUCUGUUUAGGGUGAUGAAAAUGUUUUAGAAAUAUAUAAUGGUGAUGAUUGCACAGUAUUUUAAUUGUAAUUAAUUUCAGUGAAUCCUCAACUUUUUUGAAAAUAUAUCUUCUAUUAUGCAGUAACAUGAGACAUAAACAUAUACUGUUAGAUAACAAGCAAGAUUAAAAAAUAGUUAUAACCAUGUUUAAAAAUGGAAAGAAAAAGGCUAUCGAUACAACAUACUGAUGGGGUUAGACUGGGCUGGUGGUACUACUGGUGAUAUAUUUUUCUUUUCUAUUUGCCAGAUUUUUUUCAAUGUGAUUAUGUAUUUUUUGAAAAGAAAUAUAAACAAGUUUUCUAUCCAUACAUAUAGCUACUGCUAGAGCUAACUAUACUAACAUUAUUAUCGUACAGAAAAAAAAAAUUAAAUUUUAACUUAUUCCUCAGAAUAGCAGCAAGUUUCUUAUUAAAAAAAAAAAGUGGGAAUGUCCAUCUCCUUUAAACAAAAUAUUAGGAAAGAGGGUAUAAUUAUUCUUAUUAAAAAAGUUACUAAUACAUAUUAGAAACAUGUUACUAAUAUGUAUUAGAAACAUUAUCCAUUUACUUUUUUGCAUUUUCCCUGCUGAUUUAACUCAUGCUCUUAUUAUUUUUUUUCUUAUUAUAGGUAAGUUACAAUAUUACAUUUUUUUUAAUGUUAGGAGUUAUCAUUUUUAAUCAUGUUUAGACUGCAAAUUGUCAGAGGGACUAGAAUUAACCAACGGCACUUAUUUACAAAUAAUAAUUAAAGCUGUUUAUUGCAUACAAA